GGCGGGAUAGCUCAGUUGGUAAGAGCGAGGGAUUCAUAACCCCUAGGUCGACGGUUCGAUUCCGUCUCCCGCCA
rnacentral:tRNA from 1 species